ACAUUCCUUUAGACAGAACCCAACACACUAGUACAAGCCAAUGCAAGUUGAGCAGUCAUUUUUUGGAGCAUAAAGCACUAAACUGGGACAUAAAAAGGAUCCAUAAGACACAUGCCCACAUCAAUUUCUAUAUCAAAGAGACCAAACAAUGUUCAAUACACCACUACAUCAACAAACAGAUUAUUGAUGUGGUUCAAAGAGCAAACUUUAGGUUCCAUUUAGUGUCGUAAAAACAACACAAGAUGGAAAUGAAAUAAAACAAGCCAAAAGAUGCCUUUUAUGAGGUACACAACACAAGAAACCCACAGUUUGAUUAGGCUGUUGAAGCCAAAUGAAAAGGUAUGUUUGGUAGAAGUUGUUGCAAUAGCAAAGAGCCAACCACCAAUAACAAACC
rnacentral:misc_RNA from 1 species